UUGACCCUACGGGAGGCAGCAGUCGGGAAUAUUGCGCAAUGGAGGAAACUCUGACGCAGUGACGCCGCGUGCAGGAAGAAGGUUUUCGGAUUGUAAACUGCUUUAGACAGGGAAGAAACAAGACAGUACCUGUAGAAUAAGCUCCGGCUAACUACGUGCCAGCAGCCGCGGUAAUACGUAGGGGGCGAGCGUUAUCCGGAUUCAUUGGGCGUAAAGCGCGCGUAGGCGGCCGCCUAAGCGGAACCUCUAACCCCGGGGCUCAACCUCGGGCCGGGUUCCGGACUGGGCGGCUCGAGUGCGGGAGG
rnacentral:rRNA from 1 species